rnacentral:rRNA from 1 species
UACAGAGGGGGCAAGCGUUAUUCGGAAUUAUUGGGCGUAAAGGGCGCGUAGGCGGCGAUUCAAGUGACGGGUGAAAUCCCUCGGCUUAACCGAGGAACUGCCUGUCAGACUGGAUUGCUUGAGGCCGGGAGAGGCGAGUGGAAUUCCCAGUGUAGCGGUGAAAUGCGUAGAUAUUGGGAGGAACACCAGUGGCGAAGGCGGCUCGCUGGACCGGUUCUGACGCUGAGGCGCGAAAGCGUGGGGAGCAAACAGG